AAUGGGCGCAAGCCUGAUGCAGCGACGCCGCGUGCGGGAUGACGGCCUUCUCGUUGUAAACCGCUUUUGACUGGGAGCAAGCCCUUCGGGGUGAGUGUACCUUUCGAAUAAGCACCGGCUAACUACGUGCCAGCAGCCGCGGUAAUACGUAGGGUGCAAGCGUUAUCCGGAAUUAUUGGGCGUAAAGGGCUCGUAGGCGGUUCGUCGCGUCCGGUGUGAAAGUCCAUCGCUUAACGGUGGAUCCGCGCCGGGUACGGGCGGGCUUGAGUGCGGUAGGGGAGACUGGAAUUCCCGGUGUAACGGUGGAAUGUGUAGAUAUCGGGAAGAACACCAAUGGCGAAGGCAGGUCUCUGGGCCGUCACUGACGCUGAGGAGCGAAAGCGUGGGGAGCGAACAGGAUUAGAUACCCUGGUAGUCCAAGGGCGAAUUC
rnacentral:rRNA from 1 species